UGCAAAAAGCAACCUUAAGCAUGUAGUUGCUUAACUUUAAUAUAUCUUGUUCCGGUACUAUACCAAAUGAGAUCCCCUACAAAAGUUACUAAUGUUAAUAAUCAUCCUUAUUCUUGGACGUAACUGAAAUCAAUUGUGGCAAUCCCUUUAGUUUCAUAACUAGCUCUUCUUCUUUUUUUUCACGGGUGAAAUUCAUUUCAUAGAGGAAACACGGUUUGAUACAUCAAUUGGCGGAUGAAAGAGCAAUCCCCAGACAUAAGAGCCCACAUGAAGGCGGCAACUAGAAUCCACACCGGGAUAGCUUUUGCAACAAAAAAACAGACCAAAGCUAAGACUAAAACUAGACAGAUGAUUUACCAAUUAACCAAGAACAGUAAACAAGUUGACUUAGCAGAAUUUAAAACAUAGUAGGAGCCAAUGAUCGGGAAUUGUCGUUGCUGCACAUAGCCCGCCACACGAAGAACUCCACCUCCUGCACCCAAGACACCACGACUUAUCGUUGCUGCUCACGCCCGCCACACGAUAACAUCCAAGACACCAAGACCCUAUGACUUCAUUACCUGACAGGACGAACCAUUAUUUGAUUCAGAUUCACACAACCUUCAGAGACGGCUGCGAUGUUCUCAACGCCCACUUACUCCAAGAUAGAAGUCCAAACAAAAUCUUCACGACUACGAAGCCUUGCCAAACGAAACGAACCACUCCAGACACGCUCAUGGAAGAAGAAACGAAACGGCAAGCGACCACUACAACCACCACCAUACGAAGUAAAAUCUGCUAAAUCAACUCUCACCAUAGGGACUCUUGACAUCAACAAACUAAAACUUGAGCCACUACAACAUUUAUAGAACAUGAUUCUCCAACAAGCGAUGAUGAAGUUUGACGGUUUCCAAUUGCUCCAACUAUUAGUCUCCUAUUGAUAAGAAUUCAGCUUGUGUACUAACAGACAAUCCCCAAUGGCACAUUACAAUCAAACUACAUCUCUCCAACAAUCCCCAUCCCGACUCUAAGCUAAGAACCGAACAACACAGUUCAGACUGAAAAAGGCAGGUCUUGACAUCGGAAGCGAGGCAGGGACACCAAAUCGCAUCUGCCGCCCAUUACAAAUCUCUUCCAACAGUCCCACCGCCACAGAGGGAGGUAGAUCCGUGGUGAAGGAGCUGUCUUACCUCGCCACGCGCCGCCAUCACAAAGCUACCGUCGGAGAUCUGCAGAAAGGAAAAUCAGAUCUGACAAAAGCUUUAACCCUAAAAGCCGACUCCCAUCUCCACCGUCCCGCUGUGAGUCUUGCCGUCACUCCAUAGAAAGCCGGAAUCCGUCACCGUCAACCGCAAUAGCGCUCGGGUUGAAGCCUUGACAGUAACAGAGUGACUUGCAUAUCGACCAAAGAGAACCGGAGGAGAGGAGAGCAAAGAUUAAACGAGAACAAAGAAGGAGUGGAAACGCCUCCGGCUCCGUCGAGACGGUGGCCGGAGCUAGCUAUUCUUCGUCAGAGUUUUCUUCUGUGUUAUCGCCUUGACUAAUAACUCCAAUGUUAUCCCCUAACUUCAUUUUCAUAACUAGCUCUUCUA
rnacentral:lncRNA from 1 species